rnacentral:misc_RNA from 1 species
UAAAUCAAUUCAAAAAUCAAUAAAACUAUUCGGUUCGAUUCGGUUUAACCAAUUUUUUUUCUCUUCAAAACAGAACCGAACUGAAAUAACCGAAAUUUUUAUAAUAUAAAACCGAACCAAACCGAAUUAUAUUAAAAAUCGAACCAAAUUACCGAAUUAAAGCGGUUCAGUUUGAUUUAUUCGAUUUGAACUGAAUAAUGCUCACCCCUAGACUUAUUUCCUCUUAAGUAGCACUGUUAUAUUCCGGUAUUCCCCUUUUAAGAAAAAUGAUUCGUAGUUAACAUCAGUCCACUGUGAAUUGGUGAUGAUCAUGACAACAUUUUGGCUUCAGAAAAUCUAGUGGGUUCAUUCUAACUGCAAGUGUGUAUUCAUAAAUAAAAAAUAAAAAAAAAAUGAAAAGAGCAUAAAAUAUGUUGUAAUAAUUUAUUCCUCUUGCCGAUAGUCACCUGUGUUAGCUGCAAGAUUGCGUUGACAGACACCUUCAAAAUCAUCACAGAUGUCCCUAAUGUCUUCAA